GGUUGAUCCUGCCAGUAGUCAUAUGCUUGUCUCAAAGAUUAAGCCAUGCAUGUCUAAGUAUAAGCUGCUUAUACUGUGAAACUGCGAAUGGCUCAUUAAAUCAGUUAUAGUUUAUUUGAUGGUACCUUACUACUCGGAUAACCGUAUAGAAUUAAUGCGGUAGUGGCUGGGUCAAACCGGCUGCUAGUGGGGCUCCGCCCUGCAACACUGUCAAAUUGCCGGGAAAUCCUGCCAGGCCAGUGGUACCGCCCCCUCGAUGAAAGUCGUGUGGGCACUGCGGGGAAACUCGUAGG
rnacentral:rRNA from 1 species